GAACCUUACCUGGUCUUGACAUCCACAGAACCUUGUAGAGAUACGAGGGUGCCUUCGGGAACUGUGAGACAGGUGCUGCAUGGCUGUCGUCAGCUCGUGUUGUGAAAUGUUGGGUUAAGUCCCGCAACGAGCGCAACCCUUAUCCUUUGUUGCCAGCGGUCCGGCCGGGAACUCAAAGGAGACUGCCAGUGAUAAACUGGAGGAAGGUGGGGAUGACGUCAAGUCAUCAUGGCCCUUACGACCAGGGCUACACACGUGCUACAAUGGCGCAUACAAAGAGAAGCGACCUCGCGAGAGCAAGCGGACCUCAUAAAGUGCGUCGUAGUCCGGAUUGGAGUCUGCAACUCGACUCCAUGA
rnacentral:rRNA from 1 species